CACAUUAAUGUUAAAUAACUUGUGUAUAUAUCAAGAUAAAGUAUGAUUGUUCGUACAAUGGAAUUUGCAAUAAUUAAUGACCUGUCAUAUUUUUCACAUACUAGAUGUCUAGAUAUCAAUUCAACGUGUAAUGCGAUAAUAUACAUUUAAACCUUUUUUCUCGUGGCUUUCCAAGCUAACAAGGUUAAAACAUUACCUAUAUAGACGAUCAGCUAGCCGGAGCGAUCGCCCUUUUCACUCAACCGAAUCUACAGUCGCAAGGAAGAAUAUUUUUUUAACAUGAGUUUUUUUUUAAUAAUAUACAUAAUAAUAUAUAGAGGUCAGUGUAUCAACCACUAGCCUGACUAGAAAAUAUAUUAUACGAUGGUAUAGUCCAAAGCAAUCCAGUUGCUUUCAAAUGCAUGAUCGUAUCUCACAGAAAAUUGUUGAUUGUAUGUUUUUGAAAAAACUGGCUUGAUAGACCAGCCAGGAUCUACCAAAAAGGUUAGCCAAACUACUUUUAGUUGAAAAGAAGCCAAAUAAUUAUCUUAGUUUAUCAGCUGAACAAAUGGCUGAAUAGAGAGAGCGUUUGCACUCAUUCCCCAGGGACCAACUCAACAAAAGCCAUGGCGGCCAUCUUGGUGUUCCAGACAAAAGAGUCUAAUUAAAAUUCUUUUGAAUUGGAACACCAGCAUGGCGGCUGUGACAUCAUGUGCAAAUGCUCUAUAUUGGAUAGAAUCACAACAAAUCAUUUGACGAUUGCAGAUAACUCUGACUUAAAAAGACAACAAGAACUUGGUUUUUCCAGCAAAGCAGUGUUUUCAAAAUUAUUCAAACGUCUGUCGUUGAGAAAGUGGGUGACUCAAGUAUAAUUUUACAAAUGUACGAUAAGUUUAGACAAAAUUUAAGUCGGUCAUUUCUUAUCUAGUUUGUUGCUCGAACAGUUGGUAGUCGGCCAAGCUUGCUUACUGCAAUGUAAGAAUGGAUGAAAUUCUCGUUUUGAAAAGAAUUGCGUCGUUACGAAACGCUAAAAUGUCAGAAUUUUUAUGAAUGCUGGUUAGGAAAAAGCAAAGAAAUUUCUAACAAAAAUCACUCCUUCAUCUCACUGCAUUUGUGGACUAGUUUUUAGAUGGUAGUUUAUGGGCAGGUCAUCAGGAUGCGGGCUGGGGGAAGGCACGUGUCCUUCGACCAAAUCCGAGUUAUCCGCGGGAACAAAUGGCUUGAUCGGCGUUUGAAGGAUGUUUUUUAGCGAUUCCAACACAUUUGGCAGCUUGCCUUCUUCAUGAACUUCCU
rnacentral:lncRNA from 1 species